rnacentral:sRNA from 1 species
ACCAAGCCUAGGGUAGCGCCCAAAUCGCAAGUAUUGCUCACUUGCUUGGCUUGGUUUUUAAAAUGAGCG